rnacentral:rRNA from 1 species
UACGAAGGGGGCUAGCAUUGCUCGGAAUGACUGGGCGUAAAGGGUGCGCAGGCGGACUGGUUAGUCUGGGGUGAAAUCUCAUCGCUUAACGGUGAAACUGCCUUAGAUACUGCCAGUCUUGAAUCAGCGAGAGGUUCGUGGAAUUCCGAGUGUAGCAGUGAAAUGUGUAGAUAUUCGGAAGAACACCAGUGGCGAAGGCAGCGAACUGGCGCUCGAUUGACGCUCAGGCACGAAAGCAUGGGGAUCAAACAGG